UAUCUGUGUGGGAAAGGGAGGGUUUCAUGGAGGAGACAUGGAGGGUUGGUUAGGAUAGAGAUGGGUAUGGGAAGGCCAUUCCAGGGAAAGGGAACAGUGAAGAAUGUUUUCUGAAUGCAACUGUGUAUCUAGGUCCCCCCUCCUGAAGAAAUGCCCCACCAGCACUUGGAAGAGGGAAGAAGCUUGAGGACUCCUUAUUCAUUCCAGAGGAAGUACAACCUCAGCCAGGGUCUCUAUCAGCUGAUGGGACCUCCAGCAAUCUUUCUCUAGCUCAGGACUGCUAGGGCUCCCAAGAAAAGCCUCCCUAGCGUGGGUUAAUCCUGCCCGCCAAACCCUCCCUUUGAGGCCCUAUGCUUUCUCCCUUUUCCCUACAAGUGUAGCCAGAGUUCAGGCUCCUUAAGAUGCAAAUGUAAGCAGAUCUUAUCCCUCAAAAGUCAUCAAGAUUUGGAAGACCACCAAGAAAGGCAUCGUCUGAAAGGCAGAAUCAAGCAGAAGGCUCUUCCCCUAUGGAUGGCCACAUCCUCCCCACAAAUGAGUCAAGGCCACACCCUGCAUGGAUGGAAAAUUACCAUCAGAGAGAAGCAGAAAGUUAAACUCUCUGGGGUUUUUGUGUUCUCAAUCCAGAAAUCACAGCCAUCUACUCUCCACCUGGAACAAAUUGUGAGUUGCAGGGGGAAGAGCCCACCAUCCCUUGCGGGACCAGAGUUGUUGAACCGGCAACCUUGUGGUUGAGAGCCCACUGGCCCAUGUGGGAAUCGAACCGGCAGCCUUUGGAGUUAGGAGCAUGGAGCUCUAACCGCAUGAGCCACCGGCGCGGCCCUUAAAAUACAUUUUUAUUGCUAAUCUUUUGUGCUUACAGUGUUAAAAAUGUCAUCUCCUGAUUUGUAGCUUGUCUUUUUACUUUCUUAAGGUGUCUUCUGAUGAACAGAAGUUUCUAGUUUUAAUAAAUUUAACAUUCUUUUAUGAUUUAUGAUUCCAUCUUUUUCUAUUCUCUGGAUGAUUUUGU